AGGCACAAAUGUACAGUAACGUGGUUUAGCAAUUUUUUUUAAAAAAAAGAAAAAAACAAAACAUGAUCUUUUGUACUAUAGUUUGAGAUAUCCUGUGAUGAUAUUAAAAAAAGAUUGAGGCUUUUGUGCUUCAGUUACACUUCUUUAAAAGACACAACCAACAAUUUGUUUAUAUCACAAAUAUGCAAACGUUUCAAUGAAAAAAAUAUUUUCUAUUUUUUAAAGGUUACUCUAAUAGUUCCCAAUAGAUUGCUGAAUCUACUCAGUUAAAAAGUGUAAUUAAAAUACGAGAUGCAGUUACCCGAUGUUCAAAAAAAAAACAAACAAAAAACAGAAAAGAUAUAUUUUAGACUAUUUGAAAUUUGCACCAUAUUGAUUGGAUGGUGGAAAACCUGCAUCAAAUCAAAAUGAGUCUGAUGACAGAGGGUGAUAAAGAUACAGAUGAAUUUAAUAUUGAUAAUGAAGAUAACGAUAACAUGAUUUCAUCAAGAUUGUUUUAAAAACAAUUUUAAUUUUGUAUAAAUUUUUGUUCUAAAAAUGUUUAAAUUA